CAUGGACUCAGUGGUCAUUACCAUGGGCUAUGAAGGCCUGGGCUCUCCCCAGCUCUGCCAUUUAUUGGCUGGUCAACAUUGAAAAAGAAACAUCUGUGCUUCCAUCUCACCAUCUGCGAAAUGGGGUAAUAACCCCCACCCCUACCACACCAGAUCAAAAGACAAAACAUUUCCAUCUCCUCAGGAAAUUCUCAUUCCAGUCAAUAUCUCCCCUUCUCCGCCUGUGACAACCACUGAUCGCCUUGCUGUCACAGUCAAUCCGUGAAAGGACCUGCUCCUGAACAUGCAAUCGAGCCGUGCAGGAGGUCAUCUUCUGUGCCUGGUUUGGAGAUUUCUGCAACAUGGUUGCAUCCCUCCAUGAGGCUUUCUUGCUGCUGAGUGGGAUUCCAAUGUCCCAGUGUCCACAUAGACUCCAGCUGGUUGACCCAUUCACUACGAUGGACACUGGGUUAUUUCCAUGGUGGGGUAACUAUUGAUAAAGCCACUGCAGAUGUGUUUACACAA
rnacentral:lncRNA from 1 species